rnacentral:tRNA from 1 species
AAGUGAGAAGCAAAAAUUGCAAUCAGUUUCGACCUGGUCUUUGAUAAUAAAUUAUCCUUACUUU